rnacentral:rRNA from 1 species
UAUGUGAUCGUCUCUCGCAUAUCAAUAAGCGGAGGAAAAGAAACUAACAAGGAUUCCCCUAGUAACGGCGAGUGAAGCGGGAAGAGCUCAAAUUUGAAAUCUUAAAGGGUUUCCCUUUACGAAUUGUAGUUUAAAGAAGUGUUUUCUGUUGAGGUUUUGGUAAAAGUUCUUUGGAAUAGGACAUCAUAGAGGGUGAGAAUCCCGUAUUUGACCUUAACUUUCAACUUUGUGAUACACUUUCAAAGAGUCGGAUUGUUUGGGAAUGCAGUCCAAAAUGGGUGGUAAAUUUCAUCUAAAGCUAAAUAUUGGCGAGAGACCGAUAGCGAACAAGUACCGUGAGGGAAAGAUGAAAAGAACUUUGAAAAGAGAGUUAAACAGUACGUGAAAUUGUCAAAAGGGAAGCGUUUGACACCAGUGUUGUUUUUCUGAAAAUCAAUUAAAGAACUGUUUAUGCUAAGCUGUUUAGACUUUAUCAGCUAACUGUUUAGUUUUGAGCUUUUCUUUAAUGCACUUUUCAGUUAACAAGUCAACAUCAAUUUCUUUUGCUGUAAAAAAGCUUGAGGAAGGUGGCUUGAGAUUCGUCUUAAGUGUUUAUAGCCUCUUGCCUAUGCAGUCGGAGAGAUUGAGGUCUGCAGCGUAGAUCCUUCGGGGCUAAAUGCAUUUGUGCUAAGUUAUAGCAUUUUAUAGACAACUUGUUGACUAUGAUUUGUCUUGUAGCUUACUCGCUUAUGUUAUUUUACCUACGCUUAGGAUGUUGAGUAGCGACAUACGCAC